UACGUAGGGCGCAAGCGUUUGUCCGGAAUUAUUGGGCGUAAAGAGCUCGUAGGCGGUCUGUCGCGUCCGUUGUGAAAACUCGAGGCUCAACCUCGGGCUUGCAGUGGAUACGGGCAGACUAGAGUGCGGUAGGGGAGAUUGGAAUUCCUGGUGUAGCGGUGGAAUGCGCAGAUAUCAGGAGGAACACCAAUGGCGAAGGCAGAUCUCUGGGCCGUAACUGACGCUGAGGAGCGAAAGCAUGGGGAGCGAACAGG
rnacentral:rRNA from 1 species